CCUAAGAACCCCCGCGUUUUAUCCCCGAUAUCCCGCAAAUCCUCCUUGGAUUUUUGUCCCUCGCUGAGUGUGGACUGUGGAGAGUGUGUGUGUUGUGUGGUCUCUGUUGGUUUGUGGUUUUUUGGCAGUCACAAGUGCCUUUUGAGGUGGAGGAGUCUGUGCUGCAAUCUGGCAGCCAUCGCAUCGCCGUUUCACGCGUGAUUCCUGCGUGCUGUCGCUAAAAUAUUGUCUGCCCGUCGUCGGACAAUUUGGCCGUUAUCGCGCAGCACCAGCGCUCGUGUUCCCGUAGUUCAACGCGAUACUGCAGAUAUCGUUUGCCCAUAUCGGACGCGUUGGCCGUCGUCACGCUGCACCAGCACCGUCUCUCUCCCACAUCAGCCUUAAUAAAUCCAGCCAUCAUUGGCCGUCGUCGUGCUGCACCAUCACCGUUUUCCCGUAUUGCCCAGAUUUCAGCGAGGCUCACCCAUCACGAGCGCGUCAUUCCCCCGCUGUGAAACCAUUUCAUCCCACGGUCUGCCUUGUGUGCCACCCAUUCUGUCGGUACUAUUCCCAGCGUCGAAGUGUAGUGCCGCACCCAGCCUUUCGGCACUGUGCAGCGUCUCACAGCUAACAUUAGCCUUUGCACAAGCGCGCCUGCAUUUCCUUACCACUCCGGACUUCGCGAAGCACCCGCAAUUGAAAAUAUGGACGUUCGUAAGAAAUAUCAAAGGAAGCAAGCAGGCCUUAAGCCUGAGUCGGACAGAGAGUUUAUUGAUCGUAUGGAAGCGCAGUCCGCUGGUAACCCGCGCUCGUAUGUGCGAGCCCGUGUUGUUGCGGAAAAAGAUCUGGAAGACCUAUCGGAUGAUGAAAUACUAUCAGAGCAUCGUAAGGACGAACGAUUUGUUCAGCAAGGGUACCGGCUGUCUUUUGACAGCGAUUUCGAUGAGCACGGCAAUGUGUUAAUGCCGGAUCUGUCGCGUCCUGUCGACUACGAGGCGGAAAUCCCAAGCAACCUUUCAGUCAGUGAGACGGUGCGGAGCCAUCUCAUUGUACUUAU